rnacentral:lncRNA from 1 species
CUUUCUCUAGACCAUCUUGUCAACAGCCAUGACUUUAACUGACAUCUCUAAACUUUUGACACUAAAUUUAUAGCUCUACCUGAGACUCUCUCUAAAGCUCUUUUUAUACCUUUCCCUGGAAAUUUCAUAGUCAUCUUAAACUCAAGAUCUCCAAAGCUGAGUUGGCCAUCAUCUUUUCUUUUAUUCUCUACUUCAAGAAGUGAUACCACCACCUAUCAGCCAGCCAGGCCAGAAAUUAUGAAUUAUUUUAGAUUUUACUCUCCCUGCAGAAUGACCACAGUCCACCAUGAGCAAGUUCCCUCUUGCCAUCGUGUGUGACUCUUCAUGGCUCUGGUCAUCCAUCUCACACUGGAAGAUGCCAUUAAAGUUCUCUUGCAGCACUAAUGAUGAAUGGAGGUCUGGAGUGAGGGGAGAGGUGAUGUCCCCUCAACUCUCUGGGUCAUGUGUCUUAAAAGCCAAAUCACAGGUCCAACUCCCCUCUCUCCUUCAUCCAGUUGUGAUUCAUGAUGCUCCUCUCUGA